UACGUAGGGUCCAAGCGUUGUCCGGAAUUAUUGGGCGUAAAGAGCUCGUAGGCGGUGUGUCGCGUCGGAUGUGAAAGCCCGGGGCUUAACCCCGGGUCUGCAUUCGGUACGGGCAUGCUGGAGUUCGGUAGGGGAGACUGGAAUUCCUGGUGUAGCGGUGAAAUGCGCAGAUAUCAGGAGGAACACCGGUGGCGAAGGCGGGUCUCUGGGCCGAUACUGACGCUGAGGAGCGAAAGCGUGGGGAGCGAACAGG
rnacentral:rRNA from 1 species